AUAUGGUCGACCUGCAGGCGGCCGCGAAUUCACUAGUGAUUCGUAUUACCGCGGGUGCUGGCACGUAGUUAGCCGGUGCUUAUUCUUACGGUACCGUCAUGGACCCCAGGUAUUAACCAGAGUCUUUUCGUUCCGUACAAAAGCAGUUUACAACCCGAAGGCCUUCAUCCUGCACGCGGCAUGGCUGGAUCAGGCUUUCGCCCAUUGUCCAAAAUUCCCCACUGCUGCCUCCCGUAGGAGUCUGGGCCGUGUCUCAGUCCCAGUGUGGCUGGUCGUCCUCUCAGACCAGCUACAGAUCGUCGGCUUGGUAAGCUUUUAUCCCACCAACUACCUAAUCUGCCAUCGGCCGCUCCGUUCGCGCAAGGCCUUGCGGUCCCCUGCUUUCAUCCGUAGAUCUUAUGCGGUAUUAGCAAAGCUUUCGCUUCGUUAUCCCCCACGAUCGGGCACGUUCCGAUGUAUUACUCACCCGUUCGCCACUCGUCAGCAUCCGAAGACCUGUUACCGUUCGACUUGCAUGUGUAAGGCAUGCCCCCAGCGUUCAAUCUGAGCCAUGAUCAAACUCUAAUCGAAUUCCCGCGGCCGCCA
rnacentral:rRNA from 1 species